AUCUCUUCGAGUUAUUAGAUUGAUUAUGUCGUGAUCGAAUAUAUGUAUAUCUUCGGACUUUUGCUCGGUCGAAUAUUACUUGAGCUGAUAUUGAAUUGCGGUGAUAUCGCGAAGCAACAAUCGUUCUAGGUUUUUGACUAACGUUGCGGUAACGUAAAUCGCCACGACGUGACUCGAACCGAGGACUCAGCUUACGCAACUUAGUCGCGCAAAUGACCGUUUUUUUCCGUGAUUCCAUGCCUCGCGUCGUCAGGAUCGACGAUGAUGACGCAUGAGAUACUCGUCAAGAGAAUCGGGAAAAUGUCGUUGGCGUCAUCCACAUUGCCGUUUAUCAUCUUUCGCAAAUCCCCCUCACCCAUGAUGAUGAUGUCAUUGACUUCAUCGAUAGAGUUUUAUGAACGAGAUGGGAGAGGAUAUUUUAAUUUCGUCGGGAUCUUUAAUACAGAGACAUGUUAUGAGUGUAGUCUCACUACUUUUCAAACAUUUCAUUGUUGAAAUUAUUAUUGUAUCCGCGCGACUGAGACGUACCUUCGAUGCUAUAUCCAGUUGCCGCUUAACCCUAUUUAUAACAGUAUAAUCGAGACGUUACGUUAUCCCGUUAAAAAUAGCAGCACUGCUCUAUCACGGAUAAGGCGCUUGCCGAGCGAUAAAUCCGAUAACAGACGUCAAGGAAAUGAGCUUGAGUUUGAUAAUGCCAUCGGCAUACAUUUAUAACCGUCCAACUGUUCAAUGACGCAGUUCAGUGAUGCAGAUUCAUCUCGGCACAUUUUAAGCUACAGGUAAGGUGUAUGACCCAAAUAUUGUCAGUCGAUCGAUUUGUGCGUAUUUGUGCGAUAGCAGAAGACUAUUGGGAUUCGAUUUGCUUGAAUUGAAUCGAUUUUAUCCACUUGUACAAUCUAACGAAUAGUCAAAUACGCAUGUAAUCGUUUCGAGUUUACAAUUUUUACUUAAAUUCUAUCAUUCUUGAAUAUUCUUAGAAUAAUAUUUCCCGAAGAUCCCUGGAGAUUCCGGAACAGAUUUUUCGAGAAACAUUGAGCUCUUUUCACUAUUAAUAAUGAUAUAAAUUGCUCGUCUAGGUGCUUAACUGAAUUGUAGGAGUUAUGAAAACAAUAUCAAUACACAGAACAAUGAAUUCACGAAGUACAUUAUUGUGUGUAUGAUAAAUACCAAUCGAUGAUGAGAAAGAAAGAAUUGAAAGAAGACAUUUAAAAGACCCUGACAUUAUUUAGAAAUCUUUAAAAAAAUUCAUCGAUCUAAUAUUAGCUUGAUUGAUAUAUUGCUAAACUUUAAAUAUAUUAAAUUAAAAUGACAUUAUGAAAAGUGAAA